GCAGACACAUUCCAGCCAAUCAGCAGCAGACCCUCCCUCCCAGACCCUCCCACCUCCUGGACAGCAUCCAUUUUACAUUCAUUGUGAAGCUGCAUUCUUAGUGAGCUGUCCAGGAGGUGGGAGGGUCCUGGAGGGAGGGUCUGCUGCUGAUUGGCUGGAAUGUGUCUG
rnacentral:miRNA from 1 species